rnacentral:rRNA from 1 species
GAUGAACGCUGGCGGUAUGCUUAACACAUGCAAGUCGAACGGACUCUUCGGAGUUAGUGGCGGACGGGUGAGUAACGCGUGAGAAUCUGGCUUUGGGUUCGGGACAACCACUGGAAACGGUGGCUAAUACCGGAUGUGCCGAGAGGUAAAAGACAAAUUGCCUGAAGAUGAGCUCGCGUCUGAUUAGCUAGUUGGUGAGGUAAAGGCUCACCAAGGCAGCGAUCAGUAGCUGGUCUGAGAGGAUGACCAGCCACACUGGGACUGAGACACGGCCCAGACUCCUACGGGAGGCAGCAGUGGGGAAUUUUCCGCAAUGGGCGAAAGCCUGACGGAGCAAUACCGCGUGAGGGAAGAAGGCUCUUGGGUUGUAAACCUCUUUUCUUAGGGAAGAACAAAAUGACGGUACCUAAGGAAUCAGCAUCGGCUAACUCCGUG